rnacentral:rRNA from 1 species
UACGGGGGGGGCAAGCGUUGUUCGGAAUUACUGGGCGUAAAGGGCUUGUAGGUGGCCAACUAAGUCAGACGUGAAAUCCCUCGGCUUAACCGGGGAACUGCGUCUGAUACUGGAUGGCUAGAGUGUGGGAGAGGGAUGCGGAAUUCCAGGUGUAGCGGUGAAAUGCGUAGAUAUCGGGAGGAACACCAGUGGCGAAGGCGACUACCUGGCCUGUUCUUGACGCUGAGGCGCGAAAGCUAGGGGAGCAAACGGG